AUUUUAUUUUAUAAUUCAGUUUGACAUGUCAUUGACAACUUUAUUUCUAGCUAUAAUAAUAUGAUAUAACUUAGUCUUCUAUUUAGUAUUCUUUAAGAACAUUACCAGUAAAAAGUGACAAAUCUUGAUUGAAAACAUCAUUAAAUUUCAAUGAGAUAUUUAAUCUUUUUUUUGCUUUUUUUUUUUUUUUUUUUCAACUUUAAAUAUUUUAUUUCACUACUGGUUGUGAACAAUGUCCCUUAGCGCUACAACAAUGACGCUAAGGUUCCUCCCUGUGUUGUUAAUUGCUAAUGAAACCAGGGGAUUUGAUUAGCAAAAUAUAUCUCAUAUUUAUAUCUUGUGUUAGUUGCAUUUUACAAAGUAUUCAUACGAGCACACAAUACAUAUAUAUUAUUCAGUGAUCCUAUAUAUAAACAAUCAUAUAAAAAAGUAAUAAAAAGAAGAACACCAGAUAACCGGAUUUUUGCCCGUCAUUUGUUUUGAUUAUAUA
rnacentral:lncRNA from 1 species